UACGAAGGGGGCUAGCGUUGUUCGGAAUCACUGGGCGUAAAGCGCGCGCAGGCGGUCUUCUACGUCUGGGGUGAAAACCCGGGGCUCAACCCCGGGACUGCCUUGGAUACGGGAAGACUUGAGGAUCGGAGAGGCAAGGGGAAUUCCACGUGUAGCGGUGAAAUGCGUAGAGAUGUGGAGGAACACCUGUGGCGAAGGCGCCUUGCUGGCCGAUUUCUGACGCUGAGGCGCGAAAGCGUGGGGAGCAAACAGG
rnacentral:rRNA from 1 species